CUGAUUAUGUAUCUCGACGUAUCACUUCUAACUGUGUAACGCAAAGCUAAAUGGAACACUAGAGUGUUUUUGCAAUUCCGAUUAUGUAAGACAAAAGACAGCCACAAUGCCUAGUGAUAUCGUUCUAGGCGCAAAAUUUUAUCGACAUUAUGCGACUAAAUAAAAUACACCCUUUCCCGGUACUACUUACUACGGGUGCGGCAUACUUUUGCACAUAUACGCAUUAUACUUGAUUUUGCUGUUUGUCUGUGGUGAAGUGAAGUGCCAUAGUUUCUUUGUUGGUAAACAAAGCCGUAUUAAAAUAUUAAUAAAAAAAUUGGUUUCGUUGGAUCAAAGUACUUGCUACUGCUAGUUUUUUGUUUUCAAUAGAAGUAAUUAAUUAAUCAUUUUAUCGUAUACAUUUUUAUUAGUGUUAAUAGUUAAUUUAUCAAAGUAAACGGCCACUUUUACAUAAAACAUUAUCUACACGAAAGUUCUUCAAAGUUUUAUCGUCUGCCUAUGAUUAAUUUAAUGGUCGUUGUGAUAAUAUGUAAAGUAUAUUUUAUAGUGUUUUGUAUAUUAAAGUUUAUCGCUUGCAACUAAAGAUGUCCGGGAAACUCAAUGAUCGCCAAUUGGAACUCUAAUUGGAGAUUGCAGAGUGCCACCCAAACUUGGCGAUGGGUUGUUUUGGAGGGCCUUUGGAAAGUCAGGCUACUAAAUAAACCUUCCGUGUUCGCGUCUGCCAGUGGCGUUGUAUCAACAUGAAGAUGUGGGCUCUAAACUUUGAGUGCCAGGGACUGACUAUGGAAGUCUCCAUGUCGCUGGUCACCAUUGAGGUGCAAAACACCUUGAAAAAAUUGGUGAUUCUGAAUCCUUCAUCUCUAUGAACGAUUCAUGAAGAAAGAAUUAAACAAACAUUUAAUGAACAGAUUUUUUAUAAGAUUAUUAUCAAUAAUGACAUUGCAUAUGAGAGAAAAUUGUCAAAUAUAAUUUCAUUUUAAUUUAAUAUAGUUAAUUAUGACAGCACUGUAUAUAAAGAAUAUGAUUAUUAUCAUUUGGUUAAUUUCAGUAUUACAUAGUAUUAGAUAAAAAUUUUAUUGUAAAAUUGCACAUCAAAAUAUGUUUUAUUAUCUAUUAUUAGGAGGAAAUAUUAUUUAACUAUUAUUAUUAUCCCUAAUAGCCCAGUGAAUGUGACUUCUGCCUACAAUUCCGGAGGGUGUGGGUUCGAACCCGUUCCGGGGCACGCACCUCCAACUUUUCAGUUGUGUGCAUUUUAAGAAACUAAAUAUCACGUGUCUCAAACAGUGAAGGAAAACAUCGUGAGGAAACCUGCAUACCAGAGAAUUCUCUUAAUUCUCUGCAUAUGUGAUGUCUGCCAAUGUAAUCUAAAUAUGCUGGCCCAUAUUCGGCUCCUGUCAGAAUGAGAGGGGUUAGGCAUUGGCCUUCCCUUACCUUAUCAGCCGAUAGACGUCCACUGCUGGACAUAGGCCUCUUACAUGGACCUCCAAGCACAACGACCUUGAGCCGCGAACAUCCAAACAACCGACCAACCACGCUUUCCAGUGCGGGAUCUCCCGAGUGCGGGUAGGCACCUACCCCUCUUACUGGGGGAGACUCGAGCUCAGCAGUGAGCCGAAUAUGUGUUUAUAAUGAUGAUGAUGAUGAUUAUUUAAGUAAUUGUAAAAGAAAAAAUUGAAUACUACAUUAGUUGUUUAUCUAUACAAUUCAAUAAUUUUAAGAACAAAACAUGUGCCUACCACAUUGUAGGAAAUAAAUAAAUAAUGAUUUGAUUAAAAACAAUGUUGUUUAAUGUUAAGCAGGUAGGGCCACGUAGUUCUAUAUUUGUGUAACAUCUAUUACUUAAAAAUAAAAAAUAUAUUUACUUGUGUUGGUAUUUUUUAUUCAGACUUGAUAUAUUGUUGUUGACAAAUUUUGUUAUAAUAUAUAUCUUUCAUUCUUUAGUUUAAUUUAAUCAAGAAACGACCCUACUUACACAUAUAGGUACCCCCUCUAACAAAAAUAGACUGAAGUAUAGGUAAAUAUUUAACAAAAAUGUAAAUUAAAAAUUAAUUAUAGAUUAAUUAAAAACAUGACUACAAUUUGAAUUAUCAACUUUAAUAAUUUGCUUCAAAAUAAAAACACAUACGCGUGGCGCAGUAAGUAGUGCUCCUGCAUCCACGGUCAUGGGUUCGAUUCCCACACCUGGAAAAUAUUUGUGUGAAGAGCAUGGGUUUUUUCCAGUGUGUGUGUAUUUAUACAUUAUAUAAGUAUUUAUAGGUAGUAUAUAAAUGUAAAUGAAUAUUAUAAUAUCAACUAUCUUAGUACCCACAACACAAGCUACUCUGUAUGCCUACUUUGGGGCUAGAUAGUGCUUUGUAUGGUUUAAGUAUAAAUAAUUAUACAGAAGGCUUGGUCACGAAAAAAUAUAUCCAGUCCUUUGUCUGCAUAGCUUGAGGGUUCUAGCAACUUGUUAUCAUGGUUUUGAGUGAGGAAUCCUUGGACAAUACUGCCAUCACAAGGAUUACUGUUUUCUGUAUCCAGCCCUUGAUCUAACAGCCAAGUGAAAGCUUCUUUAGGUGUUGGUUGAAACAUUGUUAAGCUCUUCACUUCUUCAAAAUUAUUAGUGAUUCUCCUAGAAAAAUAAAUCAUAAUGUAGGUAUACAUGGUACUGCCCAACAAGUUCUUAUAAAGUAGGUAUAUAAUAUACUGACCUGUGAUAAGUCUCCUCCUUCGGCUGCAUAGCUUGAGGGUUUAGGAAACCAGAGUUCAUGGUUUUGGAGUGAGGAAACAUUUUACAAUAUGCACCCAACUACAAGGCUCCACCGUAUUUCUGACACAGCAAUGUUGUGCAUAUCUUCAUGGGAUCUAGGAGCAGCUCCCAAGAUGGGGGUCAUCAUGCAAACAUUGGUCACCUGAAAGAAUUGAAGUGUGUAUUGCAAUGUAUUAUGUAUUUUGCCUACAUAAAAGUAACAGUUAUAUAUAAUUUAUAGUAUAUAAUUUAUAUUUGGA